CACAAACAAGAUUUGUGCUUAAGAAGGCUCUAGAAUUUGGGCAUGCUGUUGUGGUCGUGGUCAACAAGAUUGAUAGACCUUCAGCUCGUCCAGACUAUGUCAUCAAUUCAACUUUUGAGCUCUUCAUUGAACUGAAUGCAUCUGAUGAGCAGUGUGAUUUCCAAGCGAUUUAUGCUAGUGGCAUUCAAGGUAAGGCUGGAUUAACCCCUGAUAAAUUGGCAGAAGAUCUUGGACCACUUUUUGAGUCUAUAAUCAGAUGCAUCCCUGGACCACAAAUUGACAAAGAUGGUGCAUUGCAAAUGCUGGCUACAAAUAUUGAGUAUGAUGAGCACAAAGGAAGGAUAGCCAUUGGCCGACUGCAUGCUGGAGAACUGCAAAAAGGAAUGGAUGUGAAGGUAUGCACAACAGAAGAUGCUUGUAGAUUUGCAAGAAUUAGUGAGCUUUUUGUAUAUGAGAAAUUCAGUCGGGUCCCUGUGGAGAAGGUGCAAGCUGGUGAUAUAUGUGCGGUUUGUGGAGUUGAUGAUAUUCAGAUUGGUGAGACAAUUGCUGACAAACAAUAUGGCAAACCAUUACCCGCUAUUAAGGUGGAGGAACCGACAGUAAAGAUGGCUUUCUCAAUUAACACUUCUCCAUUUGUUGGUCGUGAGGGCAAGUAUGUAACUAGUAGAAACUUAAGGGAUCGGCUCUACCGGGAGCUUGAGCGUAAUUUAGCAAUGAAAGUUGAAGAUGGUGAAACAGCAGAUACGUUCAUUGUUAGUGGUCGGGGUACUUUGCAUAUCACAAUACUUAUAGAGAACAUGCGGAGGGAAGGAUAUGAAUUUAUGGUGGG
rnacentral:misc_RNA from 1 species